rnacentral:lncRNA from 1 species
UUUGACCUUGGAAACAAGGCUAACACACAUAUUUGAUAUAUUUUCAUUUGGAAAUCCCCCCUCAAAUAGCAAACUUUUAGCUCAGCUUUAUUACAUUCCCAAGGUCAUAAUCAUCCCAGGACCUGUAAUCUGAGAUUCACGUAGCACAGAGGCUAGGGCCACAGGAAGGAACAGGAGGCAAGAAUGCAAAAUUCACCAUGGAGUAACUACUGGUUGAAGUUGAUGCAGAGAAUUCUGGACCUUGAGGACAAAGACUAGUGAAACCAAAAAGCCCUGUACUGUUUGAGAAAUAAAUGAAUUCCCGGUUGGCUAGUGGAUACCAAAGGAAGACAACAGCCCAUUGAAAGGUAUGUACCCAGGCAAGCUGGCUGGAUCCGACUGAAGGCCCACAAAGACAGGCAACAACAGAUUGAUACUGCAACAUGGCUACAGCAGCACAGGAUUGAAGAAUCAAGAAAGAGGACUGAGUAAUUUACUGAAAUCAUACAAGAAUGGCUGCACCCAUGAACUCGUAGAAUUACGGUUACUUGCUGCGGGCCGUUGGCGGUGCACACCUUUAAUCCCAGCACUUGGGAGGCAGAAGCAGGCAGAUCUCUGUGAGUUCAAGGCCAGCCUGGUCUAUCGAGUGAGUUCCAGGACAGGCUCCAAAACAAUACAGAGAAAACAGCAUGGAACAUGGAGAGAGAGAAGUGAAGGGAGGAAGAGAGAAGAGGCAGAGAGAGAGAGAGGAGAAAGAAGUUGGAACUUUUAAGGGGAAGACUGCACAUGUGCACUGAGGUUCCACGCGUGUGCAGAGUCCUCACGAAGGCCGUAAUGCGAGAUUUUCUUUAUAAAAUUUUGAAUUCAUAAGAUGUCAUGACACCUCAUUUUGAUGGAAUGAACCUUUAAGCCUUCAUCCAGAAGCUGAUGGAAAUAGAAGCAGACACCCACAGCUAAACACUGAACUGAACUGGAAUCCAGUCACAGAGAGGGAGGAGUGAUGAGCAAAAGGGUCAAGACCAGGCUGGUGAAACCCACAGAAACAGCUGACCUGAACAAGGAGGAGCUCAUGGUCCCCAGACUGAUAGCUGGGAAACCAGCAUGGGACUGAUCCAGAUCCCAUGAACAUGGGUGUCAGUGAGGAGACCUCGGAAAUCUAUGGGGCCUCUUGUAGUAGAUCAGUACUUAUCCUUAGCAUAGGAAUGGACUUUGGGAGCCCAUUCCACAUAGAGGGAUACUCCUUCAACCUAGAUACAUGGGGAAGGGCCUAGGCCCUAUCCCAAAGGAUGUGACAGAUCCUGAAGACACCUUCCAUGGAAGGCCUCACCCUUCCUGGGGAGCAGAUAUGGUAUGGGAUAGAUAGGGUGUUAGUAGGAGGCAGGGGAGGAGGGGAGGGAAAGGGGACUGGGAUUGACAUGUAAAACAAACUUGUUUCUAAAUUAAAU